rnacentral:snRNA from 1 species
AACGCAUAAACUUUUUAAGGUAA